rfam:Brassica rapa chromosome A2, whole genome shotgun sequence.
GAGAGAAGAACAUAUAAGGAUAGCCAAGGAGACUGCCUAAUAUCAUUUUGUAAGCAAAAUGGUCAAAAUUGAAACUACCUACAGUAACUUUUAAACAUGACACCAUGCCCAUUUUACUUCUCAAAGAAAUAGGCAAGUCAUCCUUGGCUACCAAAUAUGAUUCUUCUAU